rnacentral:rRNA from 1 species
UAGGGGUUCGUUAANUUUGAUGUAAAAGCCCUGGGNUCAACCUGGGAAUUGCAUUGGAUACUGGCNGGGCUGGAAGUNCNGUANAAGGUAGUGGAAUUCCCGGUGUAGCAGUGNAAAUGCGUAGAUAUCGGGAGGAACAUCCGUGGCGAAGGCGACUGCCCUGGACCAGCACUGACANUGAGGCACGAAAGCGUGGGGAGCAAACAGGAUUAGAUACCCUGGUAGUCCACGCCNUAAACGAUGCGAACUGGAUGUUGGGAGCAAUCAGGCUCUCAGUAUCGAAGCUAACGCGUUAAGUUCGCCGCCUGGGGAGUACGGUCGCAAGACUGAAACUCAAAGGAAUUGACGGGGGCCCGCACAAGCGGU